rnacentral:rRNA from 1 species
UACGUAGGGCGCAAGCGUUGUCCGGAAUUAUUGGGCGUAAAGAGCUCGUAGGUGGUUUGCUACGUCCGCUGUGAAAACCUAGGGCUUAACCCUGGGCCUGCAGUGGAUACGGGCAGACUAGAGGUAGGUAGGGGAGAAUGGAAUUCCCGGUGUAGCGGUGAAAUGCGCAGAUAUCGGGAGGAACACCGGUGGCGAAGGCGGUUCUCUGGGCCUUACCUGACACUGAGGAGCGAAAGCGUGGGGAGCGAACAGG